UGGAGUUGCUGGGUCCUAGGGAAGGGUCCACGUCUGACAAGUCCACCGUGGCUGCCCUUCUGGGCCUGUUGCUGCUGACUCACGUUCCCACGGCCACCUUUCCCUGCGUCUGGACGUAGUAGCAAUUUCUCGUUGGAUGUGGACAUUGUGCUGUGACCGCUUUGAUCACCUGGCAUUUUUGUUGGGUUGUUUUUGGCCUUCCUUUAAAGGACGCUGCGCUGUGUUCUGCGUGGAGUUCAGCUCCUUGCUCUUCACUUUGGUCUUCGUGUGGCUGGUUCUGAAGCCUCUCAGAGCAGGUCCAGCCCAGCCUUUCCUGCAGGAAGAGUCCAGCCCCACUCCCAGGACGGGCCCUGCUGGGUGGCUGCCAACAGCCCAGGAUCCUCCAGGACUCUCCCCCUGGCGGUUGGAACUCCUGUCUCCCACCUGUGAGUCCCAGGGGCCGGGGGUCCACAGCCCCCUAGGGUCCCAUCCAUGCUGAAG
rnacentral:lncRNA from 1 species